AAUCCCUGUUGCAAAAGAACAGAAAACGCGAAAACGUGACUGGAAACAAAAUCGUGACCGGCGACAGCAUAGGACAGUCUGCAACCUCACCACUAGAUGACACUAAAUCCUGCACACUUUAGC